rnacentral:rRNA from 1 species
AACGAACGCUGGCGGCAUGCCUAACACAUGCAAGUCGAACGAGACCUUCGGGUCUAGUGGCGCACGGGUGCGUAACGCGUGGGAAUCUGCCCUUAGGUUCGGAAUAACUUCGGGAAACUGAAGCUAAUACCGGAUGAUGACGUAAGUCCAAAGAUUUAUCGCCUAAGGAUGAGCCCCGUGUAGGAUUAGCUAGUUGGUGAGGUAAAGGCUCACCAAGGCGACGAUCCUUAGCUGGUCUGAGAGGAUGAUCAGCCACACUGGGACUGAGACACGGCCCAGACUCCUACGGGAGGCAGCAGUGGGGAAUAUUGGACAAUGGGCGAAAGCCUGAUCCAGCAAUGCCGCGUGAGUGAUGAAGGCCUUAGGGUUGUAAAGCUCUUUUACCCGGGAUGAUAAUGACAGUACCGGGAGGAAUAAGCUCCGGCUAACUCCGUGCCAGCAGCCGCGGUAAU